ACCCUUUAAUGUUUGAUGUUCUAACGUGGACCCGUAAUCCGGGUUGCGGACAGUGUCUGGUGGGUAGUUUGACUGGGGCGGUCUCCUCCUAAAGAGUAACGGAGGAGCACGAAGGUUGGCUAAUCCUGGUCGGACAUCAGGAGGUUAGUGCAAUGGCAUAAGCCAGCUUGACUGCGAGCGUGACGGCGCGAGCAGGUGCGAAAGCAGGUCAUAGUGAUCCGGUGGUUCUGAAUGGAAGGGCCAUCGCUCAACGGAUAAAAGGUACUCCGGGGAUAACAGGCUGAUACCGCCCAAGAGUUCAUAUCGACGGCGGUGUUUGGCACCUCGAUGUCGGCUCAUCACAUCCUGGGGCUGAAGUAGGUCCCAAGGGUAUGGCUGUUCGCCAUUUAAAGUGGUACGCGAGCUGGGUUUAGAACGUCGUGAGACAGUUCGGUCCCUAUCUGCCGUGGGCGCUGGAGAACUGAGGGGGGCUGCUCCUAGUACGAGAGGACCGGAGUGGACGCAUCACUGGUGUUCGGGUUGUCAUGCCAAUGGCACUGCCCGGUAGCUAAAUGCGGAAGAGAUAAGUGCUGAAAGCAUCUAAGCACGAAACUUGCCCCGAGAUGAGUUCUCCCUGAGACUUAGAGUCUCCUGAAGGAACGUUGAAGACGACGACGUUGAUAG
rnacentral:rRNA from 1 species